AUGGCGGCGGCGCCGCCCGACGGGCAGGAGAAGGUGAUCGCGGCGGCGCAGCAGAUCGUCAAGUCGCUCGCCAACUCCAAGAACGCCGCGGACGACAUGAUCCGCAUCCUCUCCGGCUUCGACAACCGCUUCUCCCUCAUGUCCGACCUCUUCCCGGCCGCCGGCGCCCCCGACGCCGCGGCCGGCUCCGAGCCCCUCCCGGAGGGGGAUUACGCGCGGGAGGGGCUUCCCGGCCCCGGCGGCGGCGACGGCUUCGGCGACGACGACGACCUGGAGGACGAGAGGGACGCGGCGGUGGAGGACGCGCUGCGGCUGGUGGAGCAGUGGGACUCCCCCGCGGCCGGCGACCGGCUGGUCUUCGAGUCGCCCGAGGACGCCGAGGAGUACCUCGCCGCCGCCGCCUGCCUCAUGGGCGAGGCCGGCCCGCGCGUCGAGGCGGCGCUGCAGGUCGCCAUGGCGCGCCUCGAGGAGGAGUUCCGCCAGCUGCUCAUCCGCGGGACCGCCUCGCUCGCCGCCGAGGACCUGCACGCGUCCCUCCUCCGCCGCCUGUCGCUCACGGUGCCCACCUUCCACUCCGCCUCCUCCGUCGACCUCGACUGCCCCUCCUUCGCCAGCCACGCCGACGAGGGCGACGAGUCCGCUUCCGCGGCCAGAUGGAGCUCCGCCUCCGACGGCGAGAUCUCGCCCUACCUCAUUUCCCCCGACACCGUCAGCACCCUCAAGGACAUCGCGGACGUCAUGCUGCGCGCCGGCUAUGGGCCGGAGCUCUGCCAGGUCUACAGCGAGGUGCGCCGGGACACGCUCAUGGAGUGCCUCGCCGUGCUUGGGGUCGACAAGAUGAGCCUGGAGGAGGUGCAGCGCGUGGAGUGGGGCGUCCUCGAUGGCAAGAUGAAGAAGUGGAUCCAGGCUCUCAGGGUCGUCGUCCAGGGCCUUCUCGCCGAGGAGCGCCGCAUCUGUGGCCAGAUCCUUGCGGCCGAUGCAGAUGCCGAGGAGGAGUGCUUUACUGAGGCGGCCAAGGGGUGUGUCCUGCAGCUGCUCAACUUCGGUGAUGCCAUUGCGAUUGGCAAGAGGUCGUCCGAGAAGCUGUUCCGCAUUCUUGGUAUGUACGAGGCGCUAGCUGAGUUGCUGCCAGAGCUCGAGGCCUUGUUCUCAGGCGAUGCAAGGGAUUUCAUCAAGGAAGAGGCGGAGGGGAUACUGGUCAGGCUAGGGGAUGCGGUGCGUGGCACGGUCGCUGAGUUUGCCAAUGCGAUACGUGGGGAGACUUCUCGCAGAUCACUGCCAGGGGGCGAGAUCCACCCGCUUACGCGUUAUGUCAUGAAUUAUGUGCGACUGCUUGCAGACUACAGCCGCUGGCUGAAUCAUCUUCUUGAUGGUUGCGAGACUGAGCUGGAAAAUGGGGGUGACAAUGCGGAUAUGACUCCACUGGGUCACUGUCUGCUCAUACUGAUCACACAUCUAUUGGACAAGAUUGAGGAUAAAGCGAAGCUGUAUGAUGAUGAGGCACUGCAGAACAUAUUUUUGAUGAACAAUCUGUGGUAUGUUGUGCAGAAGAUCAAGGAUUCAGAGCUUAAGAGUUUGCUUGGGGAUAACUGGAUCCGUAAGCGCCGUGGUCAGAUAAGGAGGUACUCCACAGGGUACCUCCGAUCCUCAUGGACCAGGGUAUUAGCUUGCCUGAGGGACGAUGGGUUGCCACAGACAACAGGUUCAUCGAGUGCACUCAAGGCUGCUCUGAAGGAAAGGUUCAAGAGCUUCAACUUGGCUUACGAGGAGUUAUACAGGACACAGACAGCAUGGAAGGUUGUGGAUCCUCAGUUAAGAGAAGAGUUGAAGAUUUCCAUCUCGGAGAAGGUCCUUCCAGCAUACCGUUCGUUUGUUGGAAGGUUCCGAGGGCAGCUGGAGGGGGGAAGGAAUUUCGCAAAGUAUAUAAAGUACAACCCUGAGGAUGUGGAGAACCAGGUCUCAGAUUUCUUUGAAGGGAAAAAAUUGAAUGCUUGA
rnacentral:rRNA from 1 species